GAUGAACGCUGGCGGCGUGCCUAACACAUGCAAGUCGAGCGGCAGCGAGGGGUGCUUGCACCCUGUCGGCGAGCGGCGGACGGCUGAGUAACGCGUGGGAACGUGCCCCAAAGUGAGGAAUAACUGCCCGAAAGGGUAGCUAAUACCGCAUAUUAUCUUCGGAUCAAAGGAUUUAUCCGCUUUGGGAGCGGCUCGCGUCGGAUUAGGUAGUUGGUGAGGUAAUGGCUCACCAAGCCGACGACCCGUAGCUGGUCUGAGAGGAUGACCAGCCAGACUGGAACUGAGACACGGUCCAGACUCCUACGGGAGGCAGCAGUGAGGAAUCUUCCACAAUGGGCGAAAGCCUGAUGGAGCAACGCCGCGUGCAGGACGAAGGCCUUCGGGUUGUAAACUGCUUUUAUAAGUGAGGAAUAUGACGGUAACUUAUGAAUAAGGAUCGGCUAACUAUGUG
rnacentral:rRNA from 1 species